GAUGAACGCUAGCGGCAGGCCUAACACAUGCAAGUCGAGGGGUAGCACAGAAACAGCAAUGUUUUGGUGGCGACCGGCGGACGGGUGCGUAACGCGUAUGCAACCUACCUUUAACAGGGGGAUAACGGAGAGAAAUUUCCACUAAUACCCCAUAACAUCGAUCAAGGCAUCUUGAUUGGUUGAAAACUCCGGUGGUUAAAGAUGGGCAUGCGUUGUAUUAGGUAGUUGGUGAGGUAAUGGCUCACCAAGCCUACGAUACAUAGGGGGACUGUGAGGUCAGCCCCCCAUACUGGUAAUGAGACACGGAUCAGACUCAUACGGGAGGAAGCAGUGAGAAAUAUUGGUCAAUGGGGGCAACCCUGAGCCAGCCAUGCCGCGUGCAGGAAGACGGCUCUAUGAGUUGUAAACUGCUUUUAAACAGGGAUAAAGCACAGUAUGUAUACUGUGUUGAAGGUACUGUAAGAAUAAGGAUCGGCUAACUCCGUGCCAGCCGCCGCCGUAA
rnacentral:rRNA from 1 species